rnacentral:tRNA from 1 species
GCCUGGGUGGCUCAGUUGGUUAGGUGUCUGACUUUUGCUCAGGUCAUGAUCUCACAACUUGUGGAUUUGAGCUCCACAUCAGGCU